rnacentral:rRNA from 1 species
UACGUAGGGGGCAAGCGUUGUCCGGAAUCAUUGGGCGUAAAGCGCGCGCAGGCGGUCCUUUAAGUCUGAUGUGAAAGCCCACGGCUCAACCGUGGAGGGUCAUUGGAAACUGGGGGACUUGAGUGCAGAAGAGAAGAGUGGAAUUCCACGUGUAGCGGUGAAAUGCGUAGAGAUGUGGAGGAACACCAGUGGCGAAGGCGACUCUUUGGUCUGUAACUGACGCUGAGGCGCGAAAGCGUGGGGAGCAAACAGG